GGCCACGGGGGGGCUGCUGGCAGGCGAGACAAACAUCACUGGCUGGUCGGCAAAGAGGGUUCCGCGGUACGGCCCUGCAGACAAGUGGCACUCCCUUCGGCACAGCUGUGGGGCAGACAGAGAGAAUUUCAGAGCAUAAUAAAUACCGAGCCUCAGCAACUUUCAUGUGACUUCCAGGAGACAGUGGCAGCAGGGGCAAAUGAUUCUUCCUGGAUGGUGACUUUAACAAAGACUUUUUCUGGGGGCACCAACCUCCACCUGGCCAUGUGUUCAAGCCCAAGGAGAAGUCCCAGGAUUGGUUCAAGCUAAUCACGGUGAUCACAAUGCAAAUGACUGAGCUAAGCAUGGCACAGCUGGCCUCAAUCCUGGCCAGUGCGACCUGAGAAUCAAUCGCUGGUGGGAUUCUGAGGGAGUUUUUCUCACUAUUAUAAACAGAUGCAUAAGCAGAAAUACUUCUCUUCUUUGCUUGGCACUGUCACGUCUAAUGUGAUGCCUGGAUCACUGAAGCCCCCAGAGGCCACGGGACACGCUGAAAAUGGCCCAGUGGGAAGGCGGAAAGCUCUGGGUCCUGAAAAACACUUCUAAGUUACUGAUGGACCAAACUGAAAUCAUCCUUUAUUUUGUUUUUAUGUCAGAAAAAAAAACAAACCUAAAUUCUUUAAGUGACUUUUUUGUUAAGUUUUUGUUUCUAGAAGCCCAAAGUAUCCUAAUAAUAAUAAUUUUAAAUAAUCCGCCUAUUUUUGGAAAUAUCUUGUUCAUCGUUGAGACUAUGAAUAAUAGAUCAGUUCUCACCCCUGCCUCCCCUGCCAUUUACCAGAGUUAACAACUGUGAAGAGUUCUCUGUGUAUUUUUAAAAAUUCUGUAAAAUGCACACACACACACACACUUUGAUAUGGUUGUUCUUAACCAAAAAAUGAGAUCAAAUCUCUAUCUUACUGUAUGGAUAAACAGUAAAUAAACCUUUUUCUAAUGCAGUAGAAAAGGAAGUCAACCUCUUGGAUGUUUAGGAUGUGAUUUCAGUAGCUAGUUUCUUUGUGCCAUGACAUUGCCUUCAGAAUUCUGAUCUUGGCCAAUUUUCCUAUCCAGCAAAGCACCAUUUCCCCAACACUGGUACAUUUUUAAAAGUUAGUUGUGAAUUACAAGCUGUAAACAUUAGAUGCAGCAGACGGUGUUCUCACUGUGUCACCACUGGCUCUCGCCAGGGAGCCUAUGUGUUACCUGGAGAUUAAGGGGAAAAGCCUCAAAGGCACAGAUUCUGAAGUCAACUUGCUGUUGAUUAUUUUCAUUGAUUUUUCAAUCCCCUUGGUAAUCGCAAUUUACAGCAAUGUGCUCUAAACUCUAAUUUUAGCUGGGCAAAGUGGCUAACAGCUGUAAUCCCAGCACUUUGGGAGGCUGAGGCAGUUGGAUUGCUUAAGUCCAGGAGUUUGAGACCAGCCUGGGCAACGUAGGGAGACCCUAUCUAUCUAGAUAGAUAGAUAGAUAAGCAAGACCGGCGUGGUGUCACAUGCCUAUAGCUCCCGCUACUUGGGAGGCUGAGGUGGGAGGAUCAGUUGAGCCCAGGACGUUGAGGCUGCAGUGAACUGUGAUUGUGACACUGCACUCCAGCCUGGGUGACAGAGUGAGACCCUGUCUCAAAACAAAACAACUCCCCAUCCCCAACAAAAAACCAAUGAUUAUAAUUUCACUGCAAACCUUUACACACACACGCAAACACACACGCACGCACACACCCCAGAAACAGGAGUGCAUGCAGGACAUGUGGAGGGGACAGGCGUAAGUUGGGGAACAAUAGCUGGGUAGCAUCGUGCUGUUUUAUUUUUGUUGUUACCUCAAUGAGAACCUCAGAGAUAACCUCAUCUAUUUAUAUAUUGGCCCAGGAGUUUCUAGCUAAAAACAGUUAAAAGAUAAUUUUUCAAAAAAUCAUAACUUUCAGGAAGCUGAGGCAGGAGAAUUGCUUGAACCCGGGAGGAGGAGGUUGCAGUGAGCCGAGAUCGCGCCAGUGCACUCCAGCCUGGGUGACAGAGCGAGAGUCCGUCUCAAAAAAAACAAAAAACAAAAAACAUAGCUUUCAUACAGGUAUAAAAUAAACACAGUGUAUUCAUUUUACUUAACUCAGAUGCUAUAACUGGUUCAAAGGACAAUCUGAAGAACACAUUUAUAGAUGAGAAAUACUGAAAUAAACUUGUGAAUGGACAAAAAAGUUGGCUUUCCUACAAGGUAGGGAGCAUUCCCUCUACCAGACAGAAUUCAUUUCCUGCCCGUAGACAGGCACGUUUGCAUCGCCAGCAGCUCUUUACAACUUACGAAGUUGUAAAACAGCUCCCUAGCAAUGAAGGCUGCAAGCAGAUAAGCUGGCAGGCCGUGAGCAGGCCUCAAAUGGAGUUUUUCAAUGAAGCACAAAUGUUCCCCUUCAGAACCCAAGAUGUCUCUUUAAAAGAAAUCAUGAAAGAAAAGGGGAUUAAGUGGAGCUUAUGGGCUGCUCCAGGGUUCAGUGGCCUCCAAAAUAAACAGGACUGCUUGAUGGUCAGAGUGAAUUUUGGGUGGGGUUUGAAAGAGUUCCUGCUUUCCUCUGCUAAUGGUGACAUAAAAUGGCCAUUUCAUACCCAUGGAUAUACACUGACGUGUACAUAGAAGUUGCGGAGGCAGUGGCAGAAGCCAGAGGACUUUCUCUGCCAUGAGCUCCUCCUAGGAGCCCUGGGUUGCAGAGGGUGAGGACUGCUAGGAAAGUCUGUCAGUUAAGGCUGAAGGGACAUUAGCUUUGCUUUAAAACACAUUGCCUGUGCUUGCGUUUGUGUCUUCAUCUGAUUUAACGGGUUUUAGCUCAGACUCUCCAAAUCUAUUUACCUACAAGUCCGUUAAGGCAGACUGUGUUGUUGACAAAGCAGAACAGAAUUUCCCUGCGGCUUCUAGCUUCAAGGAAUCCCAGCUAUUUAUCCAUCACCAAGAAGGGAAGCCCCAUGGGUGGUUGAUGGUUCAUUUACUCCAGCCCAGGGGGUUGGAUUUCAAUUAGUGCAUUUGCUUUUCCCUCUAGGUAGAGCUCACCCUUUAAAGUCACUUCUUGGCUCUCUAACAGUUUUAAGAUGCACUUUCCCAUCUCAACAACAAUACAGGAUGUCUUACAAGGCUGUAGUUCUCACUCACUGCAUUCUUCCUCUGAGCCGUCCAGGAAACACGGGCAGGCCUUACAGUCAAGGCACCUUAGAUUUAAAGUAUGGAGUACGCGAAACCUUCCUAACUGGUAAAGCGCUCAGUAAUGCAAAUUCUGGGUGCAACUCAGUGGUUCUUAGUCUAGUCAGAGUUAUGCAGUCAUCAGCACAAUCUACUCACACCCUCCUCAAGGUAUGACAUAAAUAUUUCUGAAUUCACAAUGCGGACAAUCUCAUUAAUAACUUUAUUGAAUCCUGUAGCCCAGCACUCGGGGUUCUCUAAAACCCCACCCUGCCUUCCCCUCCAAUUGCAGUGUCCACUGUCUCUUUUAAAUAGACUCUGUCCUCAUCAAGCCUGUUCUCUGUCCCCCAAAUAUGCCAUAUCAUUCCUUAAUGCACGCCCUUUUUUCCCCAGUUCCCUACAAUCUUAUAAUUAGUGGUGACACUAAUCUAUAUGCGUUAAAACUCAUAGAAUUGUAUACAAAACAGUCAAUUGUACUGUGUACAUACAUUUAAAAGAUAAAAUGUGUUCUUUUAACGCUUA